rnacentral:rRNA from 1 species
UACGUAGGGUGCAAGCGUUAAUCGGAAUUACUGGGCGUAAAGCGUGCGCAGGCGGUGAUGUAAGACAGUUGUGAAAUCCCCGGGCUCAACCUGGGAACUGCAUCUGUGACUGCAUCGCUGGAGUGCGGCAGAGGGGGAUGGAAUUCCGCGUGUAGCAGUGAAAUGCGUAGAUAUGCGGAGGAACACCGAUGGCGAAGGCAAUCCCCUGGGCCUGCACUGACGCUGAGGCACGAAAGCUGGGGGAGCGAACAGG